rnacentral:lncRNA from 1 species
UCAGUCUCCAGACAACCUUUCAACUCCUCUGUGAUUCUGAAGCUCUGGCGAGCCUGUGAAGUGAGCCACAGACGGCAGCUCUCAUGCUUGGAUUUGGCAUGCAGGAUGCCUUUCUCCCUGAACCAUCAUGGUGCCAAUACAAGGUAAUUUGGCUGGAUUGAUUUCAUCAGGAAUUAGUGUCCUCACCCACCAUGGAGAUAGGAGUCUCCCAGCUCCUAAUGGUUAUUACCUAUGUUCCUGACUCUCCAUUAUUUUUCUUCCUCUUCUGUAAAAUGAGUCUGACUGGUAGCUUGAAGUUACCUAGAAUGAGGCUUUUGCAUGACCUACCUAAUCAUUCAGCUCUCUGUUUGUUCCAUAAAGACAUUAAAUCGAUUAUGUUACUCCCAUACUCUGCUUUUGUGGGUCAAUGCAUAUGUAAUUCUCUUCUGAAGAACGGCUUGUCUUACAUUAGGAUCAAUCAGUGUAAUGAUUUUCAACCAAAGUGGUUCUAUAAUAAUAAUUUUAAAAGAAAAAUACAAAGUGUGACCUUCUGGUAGAAACCCAAUAAAAAAAAACUAAGUUCUAAAUAUAUAAAAAAUAGAUUGGGAGAGUGUGUUCUGCCAGUUACUGAAUAAGAAGAAACUGUUUCUUACUAUAUAGCAAUUAUUUGCUGUAGAUCCCAUUUAUUCAUGUCUAUGUGUGAAUAACAGUUUCAAGAAAAUGUAAACACUUCUGAGUAAGCUAACAUGUUUGGUUAUUAUCAACUACAGUAAUUGUGGUAGAUUCAAUUGUUAUUUAAAAAAAAUCUUUAUAGCUGGGCUUAGGAUGUGAGUUGUUUGGGAUAAAUGGUGGACUGAAUAUAAUUCCCUGCCUUUUGACUUUGGGCUUAGCUAUAUGCCUUGCUUUGGUCAGAGGAACGUUAGGAGACUGGAAAUAUAAUUUCAUCAGGAGGCUGAGGUAAGAGGAUUACAAAUUCAAGGCCAGCCUCAGAAACUUAGCAAGACCCUCAGCAACUUAGUGAGACCCGUUUCAAAAUAAAAGAUCAAAAGGACUGGAGAUUGACUCAAUGAUAAAGCACCCUUGGGCUCAAUCCCUGGCAUCAAAAGAAGAAAAUAAAAAAGGAAGGAAGGAAGGAAGGAAGGAAGGAAGGAAGGAAGGAAGGAAGGAAGGAAGGAAGGAAGGAAGGAAGGGAAAGAAAAGAAAAUAUAAUUGCAUGUUUUACUCUGAUCUCAUAUUUCUGUCAUUGCCAUAUACUGUAGUUUAGAUCUAAAAAGUCACCCAAAGGUCUGUGUGUUGAUAGGUUGGUAUCUAAAAUGGUGAUGCUAAUGGGAGAUGAUGGAAACUUCAGGAAGUGAGCCCAGGAGGAGGUCUUUAGAGCAUUGAGGGUACACCCAAGAAAGGGAUUUUGAGACCCUGGUCCCUUUGUUUCUUUGGCUUCCUGGCCAAGAAGGGAAUUUUGCUCUGCUGCAUGCUCCCACCAGGAUAUCAGCUGCCUUGCUACAGGCCUAAAAUAAAUAAAGUCAACUUAUCAUGAACUGGCACCUCUGGAAAUGUUAGCUGAAAUAAACCUUUUCUCUUUAUAAGCCGACUACCUCAGGUAUAUGCAAUAGUAACCAAAAAGAGCUGAUGAAACACACCAUACUUCCUUGAGAAAGCUGUUGUCCCUUCCUGCUGGGUCCCAGAAUGACAAAGUUGGAGAAGAUUAGACCUCAAGUGGAACAAAGUCUAAUCUAGAGCAACCUCCAACUGACCAUAUACACGUGGGUACAUGUGGUUUUAAGCCAAGGAGUUUUGGAUGGUUUGUUAUGUAGUAAUAGCUAAGUAAUGCAAUGGAUACUCACUGGUUAAGUAUGUUAUUUAUUCAUGAUCUCAUGAUCUCAUGAAUGCUUUAUUUUUGUACCAGGGAUUGAACCCAGGGGCACUGAGCUACUUCCCCAGACUGAUUUUUUUUUUUUUUUUGAGACCAGGUCUUGCUAAAGUCACUUAGGGCCUUACUAAAUCACUGAGGCUGGCUUUGAACUUGCAAUUUUGCCUCUGCCUCCUGAGCUGCUGGGAUUACAGGCAUGCACCACCACACCUGGUUUUAUCUCUUUAAUUCUUAUACCACCUCGGAACUAGAUAUUAUCAUUCAUUCUGCAAGAAUACAUGGUUGUAGAGUCAAGAUGUGAACCCCCAAACUAAAACCUUUUUAAGACUACAGAGUCAAAGCUCUUAAAUAUUUAUGGAAUAAAAUCACUCAUAAAAUUAAUAGUUGAGAACUGCCUACCUUUGGUUUUCAUGACUGGCUCUUUCCUAGCCUUUGAAUUUCAGAAAGGUUUACCUGACUACCUUAAGUGGCCUUCUCUCCAUUAUUUUCCCUCUUACCUCCUCAUUGAUUUCUUCAGCGCAUUCCCAUACUUUGGAAUUGAUUUGUUUGCUUGCUUGCUGUCUUGUCUUCCACAUCACCAAAUGCAACUGUAGGGUAGAAACACGCUCAUGUUUUUAUUGUUGUACCCCAAGCAUCUAGCAGAAUGAUAGGCACAUAGUAGGUGCUCAACAAAUAUUUGCAGAAUGGACAAAUGAGUGAGUAGGACAGAGAUAUAAAGAACAGGCUGGUGAGUGGGGAACUGUGAACCUUUAUGGGACAUUGUAGAAAGGAACCAUGAAUUACAAUCAGGAUUUGAGGAGGUGAAGGGACAUGAGGGAGGGCUGUAGAGAUAAGGAGGAGGGAAAGUGUAACAAACCAAGUUUAAUCUAGUGAACUUUGCCACUUCAUAAUAAGUAGAACUUGUCUGGGAAACUCAGAAGUCUUUUUUUCCUUGAGAAACUUCAAACCAAAAUAUAUCCUAUAAAAACACACACUAGAAUAGGUAUGAUGUCUUUUUUUUUUAAUUUGAAAUGUAUUUUUUCUUGUAGGAUUUGAAAAAAAGAAACAUGAAGGAAAAAUCUCACAGUAACUGAUGCAAAAGGAACAAUGGUAUCAAACCAAACAAGACCUUAGGUGAGCCAUCUUCUUUGACUGCUUGGUUCACAGGGGAUCUGGCUUAGUCUUGGGAGAGAAGUUCAGACAGGAGGCCAGAGUACUGAUGAAUCUCACUGGUGAUUUUCUUUGGAGUAGAAACAAUAAAUAUAUCAGAUGGGUGAGAAAUUCAAAAGGGCCUUGACAAGAUGAAGUCUGGGGUCUGAAAGAGUUAGUUCCAUGCUGGAGAAUUACAACUGGUUUAGAAUGGACUUCUAAAUCUCAAUGGGCAACAGUGUAACAGUGGAUGCUCUUGUAUUUUGUUUAAUAGAGAAAGUUGGGGUGGCUCUCUGGGUUGUUGAUUCUCCUGGAUUUGUGAGUUGGUAUCCAUAUCAUCUGCCUGGAUGCUCUGUUCUUUACAAACCAUUAUGAACUCAAAGUGUUCAAGUGCUGAGUUUCAUGAGUUUGGGGGACACAUUUAAAUCACAGCAGUGACUUUGCAUCAGUCAGAUCGGUAGAUUUAUUUAUACGGACACAGAAUAAAUAUUUCAUUACAAAUAAAAAUACCUCAAAAGGUCUAUUUUGCUUUUAAUGACAAAUAAAGAAAGCUGGACAUAUUUCUGCAAAAAGCUAGUGGGAAAACAUAAGAUUGCCAUCUCUUAUUUCCUUAUGAUGGAUCUGCAAACCCUUUUGCUUCAUAGAAAGCUUUUACUAGCCCUUAGGGCAGCACAGAUUGUGGGGAGGAAAAUUUCUCCCCUUGGUUUUGCGGUGAUGACAAGAAAUAGAAUUGGGGCUGAGACAAAGGCCGCUCUUCAUUUUCUCUUGUUUUUGUUGUUUUGAUGGUGGUGGGGUUGGUGUUAAGGAAGAAUGAAGGUGUGGGAAGAAGGAAGGCAUUUUUUAUUCCAAAAUUAAUAAAUUACUAAUUAAAAUAAAGUGGCCUUUUGACACUGUGAAGUAGGUCAAUGUAAGAGAGGAAAAAAAUCAUUUGUUUUCCUUUUGCUUUUGGCAUUGUAAAUGAAUACCCCUUUAGGAAAAUUGUAUAUGGAGUCUCACAAAAUUCAUUGCUCUAUUUAUUCAACGUGACAGGAAUGAAAAUGAAUCUACAGAAAAUAAAGUAGAAUGAAUUGACUUUAUUUUUAAAUGUUUAUAUCAAUUUUUUUUCAAUGCCAGCCUGGUGGUAUUUAUUAGCAAAUAUUUAUUUAGCCCUCAUUGUGUUUUGUGCUUAAAGAAAGGAUGGCGGGGGUAGGGGGGGGGUAGAACUAGUAAGACCUGUUUGUUAUCUGAGAUUAAUCUGUGUUUCUACCUAACUGGAGAGUACAUGGCAGCACCUUUUUUUCUAGAAUCUGGCAUUGACCAUCAAAGAGAGGGCUAAUCUCACAAUAAAAACAACAACAACAACAACAAAUACAGGAGGAAUACAAACAUAUGAUAUACAUGUAUGGAUGCUUCUAGACAAUAGCACAUGUGAAUGAUGACAGAUAUCUGGACCUUCCUGUACUGUCUGGGGAACUCACCAUACCAUUCCCAAGAUAAUUUGGGCAAAGAAUUUACUUAUAUAUAUAUAUAUAUAUAUAUAUAUAUAUAUAUAGGCAUGCACAGACAGCUACCCAUUACAGGAAUACCAGUGAGUAAAUAGCAAUUAGCAAUUGCUGAUUGUAGAAUUAAUUAAUAAUUUGGCAUUAUAAUUGAUGCUGGAUAAUAAAAUUAUAAGAAAUAUUAUGUUCUCACCAGAUGUUUAGCAUUUAUAUAUUUAAAAUCAAUUUGGGAAAGGAAGGGAACAGAACUAUUAAAUUGGACUUUUGGGAAAUGACAUGCUAGAGUGAAAUUACUCUCUGGUUUUAAGUGAGAUAACACAGAACUAUGGUGGUCCUAGCACAAAUAUUACAGCAUCUUCUUUAACUCUCAAAAAUGUCCUAAUUUGGAUUAAAAAUCCAUCCAUACUGAAGCAGUAUUGAUUUGCAAAAAGUGGAUUAUUUGCAUUCCAACUGAGUUGUGUUUACUGUAUAACCACUAUCAACUUGUUAAUAAUAAUAACAAUGAGUCAUUUUAACCAGUAAUUUUUAUUUUGUGAUUGCUAGGGUUCUAGUAAUCAAAUCUAUUAUGUAGUAUAUUGAGCAUUUUACGUGAAUUAGUUUAUUUAAUUUUCACAUCCUUACAGGGUAAAUACCUUCAUUAUUGCCAUUAUGUAACCUUAUUUAAAAAGAAGGAAAAAAAUGGGAAUACAGAGUUGUUAAGUAACUUGACAAAGGACACACAGUAUGUGCUGAAAUCAGUGUUCAAACAGAAACAUUUUUAUGCCAGCUUAUUUUGUUCUAUGAUCAAAAAUCUUACAUUAUAGAUGAUGAAGUAGAACAUAAGCACAUUAGUUGAUAACAUAGUAUAAUUAUUAAGAAAAAAAUAAAUUACAUUACUUAUUCUUGGUGUUCCCCCCCAUCUGUUGUACAUAGUUAUAAUAAAGAGUUCAAAAACUUAUGUAAAGGGUCUGGGGUGUGGCUCAGUGGUAGAACAUGAGGCACUGGGUUCCAUCCUCAGCACAACAUAAAAAAAUAUAUAUAAUAAAGGUAUUGUGUCCACCUACAACUAAAAAAUAUAAAAAAUAGUUAUGUGAAAUAUAAAACAUUGUCUAUAUGUUGAAUGAUAUGAUAUUUAUCCCUUCUUCUGCUAUAGUGUUGUAAUUAACAAAUUAUACCUUAAAUCAAAGGAGUAGAGAAUUGAAAGCAGUUUCUUUUCCCAAUCCAAAGAUAUUUUUCUUGAAACCCCGUGACUUUCAAGUUUCAUUUUGUGGCCACAGGCAAGGAAAAUACCAGGAAAUCAAUAAAAGCUAGGAAAAUGAAUUGCAAAGCAGCAGCAAGAUCCCAGUUGAGGUUGGCAAGAGAUGAGCAAAUGUAUAUAUAAUCUGCAUAGGGCUUUAGGUCUUCCCAGCUGAUGGAUGAUUUCUCAAUAGCACUCUGGGCUAGAAGAUAGAAGCAGACAGGGCUGGCAGUGCAUGAUUAAACGAUGGAAUACCAGAAUUACCAAGCGUGGUGAGUGUGGGAUGAUGCUGAGAACAGCAUCGGAGAAGCCAACAGUGGAGGAAUGCAUCCAUAGGGAGUAGGUAAAGUUAAAAUAUGAGUGAAUGAAAGAUGAGGAGAUUGAAAAUGCAGACUCACAAAUAUGUUAAGAAAAAAAAAAAAAACUAGAUAAGGAUUUAAUGGCAGCCCAAGUGGGGAAACUGUCAAAUUCAGGAAUGAAACUGGUAGGAUCUAACACUUAGCUGGAGUGGCAAAUGGCGGAUGUAGCAAUUCCAUGCUAUCCAGAAGCAGUAAGUGGUAUUGCUUCAUAGUGGUACUGGGGAAUCAAAUACCUGGAAGUAGUUAGCAUGGGAUCAGACACAUAGUAAAUGUUUAAUAACGUGUAAGUAUUUAAUACAGUCUUAGAAACUUAGUAAAUGCUUAAUAUGUGAUUGUUCAACAAAUGUUCCUGCAGAUUGUUAUACUCGUUAAUAUUAGGGUGUUAGAUUAGAUGAUUAAUCUUACAUGUAAAAUUGACUAGGCUAGUUGUUUCUUGGAGAGCUGGUAAAACUAUUUCUGGGUCUGUCUGUGUGGGUGUUUCUGGAAGACUUUAUCUUUUGAAUCAGUGAACUGAGUAAAGAAGAUCCACCCUGGCCAACAUGGACAGGCAUCACUCCUUCUGUUAAAGGCCCAAAUGAGACAAAAAGACUGAGGAAGAGCAAAUUCUCCCUUCUCCUGGUGGAGCUGGGACAUCCAGCUUCUCUACUCCCCGGACGUCUGAGAUCCUGGUUCUUGAGACUUUGGACUACAAAACUUACACCAGCAUCUCCUUCCCAGCCCAGUGGUUCUCAGGUCUUUGGCAUCAGAAAGGAGUGACAUCAUUGGCACCCCUGGCUCACAGACCUUCGGACUCAGGCUAAAUUGCACCAAUGGGUUUUCUGGUUCCCUUACUUCGGGAAAACCUAAAUAAGCCAUGUAGCUUCACUUACUUUUUGUUGAGUUAAAAAUCACUAAUUUGGGGGAUCACACAGCUGAGUGAUAUACAUUAUUAGUCUCCCACUAGCUUUGCUGUAGGUAACAUUCUGCCCUCUGGGUUUAGGGAUAACAGUUGCUAGGUUACAUUUAAGUGACUUGAAGGUUGAACACACUCACUCUUCUCUCAGGUCUGCAGAUGGCUAAUGGGUGGUUGGAAUGGAAUGGAAAGGUUUGGCAUCUCUCCUUGAUAUUUUGUCUGUUCCCUUGGUGCCUUUAGCCUUUGGGUCGGGCUUUACUGAGCUUUGGAUGUAAACAUGUUGAUCAUUUAAACUUUGUCCAGAAUCGUAACAAGGGAUUAACUUAACCUAGACUUGCCUCAUCACUUUCCCCACCUUCAAGUCUAUCAGAAUCAUGACCAGAAAUACCAGACCCUGAAAGAAACAAAAAGAAGUCACACGUGAGUUCCUGGAAGAUCUCCAGCUGUCUCCAGAGAAGACAUGAACAUUACCUCCUGUUGUUAGUCUCUUUCUCCCUCAAUAUUCCUAUACUCUAUCUAUAACUUCUCAGCUGCCUGAGAGUUGGGAAGAUAUUUGUGAGCAGAGCUCCCAUUUUCCCAUUCUUUAGCCACUGAAUAGAGCAUUUUCCCCCCUCCUAUUACUUUGUCUCUGGCUUUAUUAAGUGGCAGCAAAAUUGGACUUUUUCUCAUUUACAGUUCUUCAGCUUGCAGGUGACAUUCUGGGAGAUUCUUGGCUUCUGUAAUCAAGUAAGCCAAUUUCCAUAAUAGAUUGCUUCUUAAACAUCUCUAUCUAAAUAUCUAUCUCUCUAUCUAUAGAUAUAUCUGCUGGUUCUGUUUCUCUGAAUAACCUUGACUAAGGCAGCAUGAAGCUAGGCAUGUAAUUCCAGUGACUUGGGAGUAUAAGGGUAGGGGGAUGGCAAGUUCAAGGUCAACUUGGGCAACUUAAUGAGACCCUGUCAAAAAUUAAAAAUUAAAAAAAAAGUAGGGAUGGUUCUGGAAGUGUAGGUCAGUGGUUGUCGCGACCCCUCGCCGGCAAGGGAAAACACGACACAGGAUUCUUCUUUCAGCAGUUUAUUCAGGCCUUGUUUCAUGUAUCAUCUUCUAGCGACCCCCCUGCCGAGCACCCAAGCACAGCCUAAUAAAGCCUCCUGCAUACCAAUCCCAAGCUGCCACGUGGAUCUCUCUCAUAGGGUGGUAAGGGAUUGCGCGCCAACUCUCCAAAAAAGGAGUUGUUUAUCACAGGCCACAGUGGAAGCCGGCGCCAUCUUCUAAUGGCGGCCACGGUCUAUAAGAAUGGCUUACCACAAGUGGUAGAGUUAAAACUUUGUCCAGAAUCCAAAGAGUUCCAUUCUUAUUCCAACAAGAACAUUAAUUUUUCUAUUCUUGCAUUGUAUCUAGUGCUACAUUGUAUCUAGUGCUAUGGAGGUCAAUCUCCAAACCACAACAAAACAAACAACAACAAAAAAAGAAAAAAUAUGCAUGGAACUUAGAGGUGUGAUAGUGAAUUGGGAAGGUAAAGAGGAAAAACAUACAUGAGGGGUUUUUUUUUGUACUGGGGAUUGAACUCAGGGGCACUCAACCACUGAGCCACAUCCCCAGCCCUAUUUUGUAUUUUGUUUAGAGACAGGGUCUCACUGAGUUGCUUAGUGCCUUGCUUUUGUUGGGAAUGGCUUUGAACUUUUCCUGCCUCUGCCUCUGGAGCUGCUAGGAUUACAGACAUGCACCAACCACCGUUCCCGGCCAUGUUUUUGAAGUAUCAUAGAAGACAAAAGUAGGUCUAGCAGCACAGAGUAGCAGAGCUGGAAGGAAAGAGGAAAUGGUGUGAUAGUAGCAAUUAGGAAGGAAGAAUUAAAACAAGUAGUUGCUUGAAAAAGAGAGCAAACCCCUCCCAAGCUCUCAUGGGAUCUUUUACGUAGUUUCCUUCCUUCUUUUCUGCUAUUCUUGCAAUUUAUUCUCACAUUCGUUCAUUUAAAGCCAAGUUUUCUAUGUGUUGAAUUAUAUAUACUAAAAAGCAAAUUGUGGGAGAAUUUAUAAUUCAGUCUAAGAAGGAGGUGAUUUUCAUUCAUACAUAUUCUUCAUCGCUUUCUGAAUGCUUAUGCUCAUUCUCUGUUCUCUUUGCCACAUCCUUAAUUAUCAUCAGAAUGAAGAAGGAGUUUCAUAUCACAGGUGUUGGCAGCAAACAAAUCUGCAGCUUCGGAGAAGGAAGUCCUAGUCUGAAAGCAAACAAAUGUUUGCAAAAACAGAGUAGAUAUUGCAUUUAUAGACAGAAUAGCUUGUCUAAGCUCUGGAGUCUAGGUUCAGCACAUUUGAUACAAGGGAUGGCUUCCAUUCUUAUUCCAACAAGAACAUUAAUUGUUCUAUUCUUGCAUUGUAUCUAGUGCUACAGCACAAACCUCACUCCCUUAAUUAGCUUUCCAAGGAUUCAGAAAAGGGUCCACUCCUGAUCUGAAUUGUUUCCCUUGGUGAUAUUAUUAAGUUUCAUUUCAGCAGCUUGGAGACAAAACCCAUCAACCAAUCAGCAAGUUCAUAAGGCAUCCCUACUAUGAGGUUGGCUUUGUGUUAGAAGCCCUCUAGGAGCCUGCUCUUGAAUUGAGGAGGCAAAACCUGUACAUAUGCAAAGGUAAGAGAAUAAUGAGGGCCAAACUGGGCAGAACUGACUCUAGGACAAUAGAAAUUCAGAGAAAGGAAAAAUCAGUGUGGGCUAAAUAGCCAACAUUUAUAAAUUGUUAUUAUCAAUUACUAUCAUUAUAACAACAAUGGCCAGCAUUUAUUGAGUAUUAAGUGCUCUCCAUAUGCCAAGGUACUGUGCAAAGCACUUUGUGUGCCUCCUCUGAUUUAAUCCUCAUAAUAACACUCCUAUUAUUCCUACUUAUAAAGAGAAAACAACAUACUCCUAUUAUCCCCAUUUUAUAAAUGAGGAUACUGAGUCUUAAAGUGGUUAUAUAAUUCAACAACAGUUACAAAGUCAGCAAAACCAGAAUUCAUAUUUUAACAUAGGUUUGUCUGGCUCCAAAUAACUGUGAACAUAACAUAUAUAAAACCUUACAUCCAAUCAGGUGGCCCAGAGCAUGAGGAUCACAGGAGUCAGAGCAAUGGAAUGAGUUUAAGCACAGCAGGUCAUGCAUUUAUUCAUAUCCUCUUUCAUUCAUUCGGAAUGGUGUUUGAGCAUCUACUACAUUCAAAACAUCACACUAGGAGUUGUGAGGACUAUAGAAAAAACCCAGCAUUCCUUCUCUCAAGCAGUGUGCAGCCUGGUCAGAGGUGACUUGAGCUGGGGUGAGAAUGUAUGAGAAGCAGGAGAAGGUGGAGAGUGGGAAGUUCUUUGAAGAAAGAACUUCUACGUGGACUUAAGGCUCCAAGUGCACUAAAAGCCUUAGGUCAUAAUUUCUUCAUGAAUUGAUUCAAUAACUUUUGCACACAGUUUUUGCUAGGAGCUGAGGAAAAAUGGAGAUUCCUCAGAAAACUUAGUUGUGGGCUAAAGACACUAAUAUGGAAAUGAAUUGAGAUUGUGGAAGAAAUAGGAAUUAACCAGAUGCAAAAGAAAAGGAAUAUAAUUAUCCCAGCAAGCAAAAUAGAAGGAAUUCCUGAAAGUUGUGUUUGGGGUAAAGGCUGGUACCUAUAAAAAACUGAAGACCAGUCAGGUAAAAUGUAGGUGUUUUUUCCUUGACAUCUUCCUCUUCCUAACUCCUAUAUCCAAUGUGCUACCAAGUCUUUCUGGUUUUAUUUACUAGUGAAUAUUUGUUGAUCUGUUUAGAUCUCUAAACUAGUAACACUGUCAGCACCAUUCUAUCUUAAACCAGCACUAUGCUUUCCCUGCUCUUUGGGCUUUCUGGAUUCACUUUUGCUAGCUUCCCAUCCUUUCUUUACAUUAUUGCAAAUCUGAUCCAUCUCUGCCCUCUCUCCCUCUUGACUGGCUCUCCCUUGUCCCAAAUGUUAAAGCACAGUGACGGGUGUGUAGCAGAGCACUGUGAGGAAGAUAAGCACCCGUCCAGCCACCUGCCACUGGACGAAGCAUCCCGAGGUAUGGAGGUGCUGCUCGUCCAGCUGGUCACCACUCAUCAUUCUGGCAAAGCACCAAAGGCACCAGGAGAAAUGGAAGUGCUGCUUGUUGAGUCCACUGCCAUUGGACAUUCCUCACAAGCAUUUUUUUCAAUAAAUCUAUGUCUCAGCCCAUUUCGGGGUGUCUUCUUUUGGUCUCUUAGCAACCCAUCCCACUGCUGUAGCACAAUUGGGCUGUGGAUAAAGGAGUGUUCAACACUAUGAGGUGAUUGUCCUUUCAUUUCAUUAUAUUCUACACUAGAUACUUAUAGUUUCUGAAUCUGGAUUAAAGGAUAAAGCAGAUAGAGAACCUUCAAACAAAGGCAUCUAUGAACAUGCAGGUGAUAUAGAAAGCAGUUAUUUAUUUAAAUUAGCACAAUGAAAAAUAAUACAGUUCUUUAUGGUCACAUAACAUUAAACAAUAUAGGUCAGGUAGUAUUCUAAGCACAUUAAGUCACCGAGUUCUUGCAAUGAACUACAAAUUAACUACAAAUUAUAUUUAUUUUUGACUGUAAAGGUGAAUGACUUGUCUGAGGUCACAUGAGCAUAAGUGGAUGGACUAGAAAGUGAACCCAAGAAAUUCAAAGUAAGGAUCUGACCUUCACUCACCGCUGCAAUAUACCAUACACUUGUGGUACCUCUGACCUGUGCACCAGGAGUCACACAGUUGUGAAUGCCUACUAGGUACAGAAGCCAAACAACUUGAAAAGAGUGACAAUG